rnacentral:rRNA from 1 species
UCUACGGGAGGCAGCAGUGGGGGAUAUUGCACAAUGGGGGAAACCCUGAUGCAGCGACGCCGCGUGGGCGAAGAAGUAUUUCGGUAUGUAAAGCCCUAUCAGCAGGGAAGAAGAAAUGACGGUAACUGAGUAAGAAGCACCGGUUAAAUAAGGCCCAGAAGGCCGGGUAAUCCGAAUGGUGCAAGGUGUAUCCGGAUUUACUGGGGGUAAAGGGAGGGCAGGGGGCAGGGCAAGCCUGGUGCGAAAGCCCGGGGCUCAACUGCGGGACUGCAUUGGGAACAACCGGCCUUGAGUGCCGGAGAGGUAGGCGGAAUUCCUAGUGUAGCGGUGGAAUGCGUAGAUAUUAGGAGGAACAUCAGUGGCGAAGGCGGCCUUCUGGACUGUGACUGACGCUGAGGCUCGAAAGCGUGGGGAGCAAACAGGAUUAGAUACCCGAGUAGUC